UACGAAGGGGGCUAGCGUUGUUCGGAAUUACUGGGCGUAAAGCGCACGUAGGCGGACUAUUAAGUCAGGGGUGAAAUCCCGGAGCUCAACUCCGGAACUGCCUUUGAUACUGGUAGCCUAGAGAUCGGAAGAGGUGAGUGGAAUUCCCAGUGUAGAGGUGAAAUUCGUAGAUAUUGGGAAGAACACCAGUGGCGAAGGCGGCUCACUGGUCCGAUACUGACGCUGAGGUGCGAAAGCGUGGGGAGCGAACAGG
rnacentral:rRNA from 1 species